UACGUAGGGACCAAGCGUUGUUCGGAUUUACUGGGCGUAAAGGGCGCGUAGGCGGCAUGACAAGUCACUUGUGAAAUCUCCGGGCUUAACUCGGAACGGCCAAGUGAUACUGUCAAGCUAGAGUGCAGAAAGGGCAAUCGGAAUUCUUGGUGUAGCGGUGAAAUGCGUAGAUAUCAAGAGGAACACCUGAGGCGAAGGCGGGUUGCUAGGCUGACACGUGACGCUGGAGGCGCGAAAGCUAGGGGAGCGAACGGG
rnacentral:rRNA from 1 species